UCCUGGUGCCUGAUUGGUCUUCUCCUGCAAGCCAAUCAGUUGUUGCAUUCUAGGAUCCUACUUGCCUAUUGUUCUAGGAUCCAAGCUUAGUAUAUAACAGUCAGGCAAGUGAAGGGGUAGCUGCUUCCCCACCAUCUCCCGCACCACUGCUUCCCAGAACCAGAAGAGAAUUCAAGUGGGAAGGGCAAAGGCAGCUUCCUCUGUCUGCAUGGCACAGCCUGUCAGGGGGAGGUUCAUAAACUGGUGUUAAAGGUAAAGGUAAAGGGACCCCUGACCAUUAGGUCCAGUCGUUGCGGCGCUCAUCUCGCUUUACUGGCCAAGGGAGCUGGUGUACAGCUUCUGGGUCUUGUGGCCAGCAUGACUAAGCUGCUUCUGACAAACCAGAGCAGCACACGGAAACGCCGUUUACCUCCCCGCCGGAGCGGUACCUAUUUAUCUACUUGCACUGGCGUGCUUUCGAACUGCUAUGUUGGCAGGAGCAGGGACCGAGCGACGAGAGCUCACCCCGUCGCGGGGAUUCGAACCGCCGACCUUCUGAUCGGCAAGUCCUAGGCUCUGUGGUUUAACCCAUAGCGCCACCCGUGCCCCUAAAACUGGUGUUAUCUUUGACAAUAAAGAGUUUGUAUCUGCCAUGUGUGCUCCUUUGGCUGAGAAGCAUCCUCAAGAACUCCCUUGCCUCCCUUAGCGCCCCCCGCCUAGAUAUUCCCCCCACCAAGGGGUAGCACUGCCUGCUUUGGGAACCACCGCUCUAUUCCAAAACAAGCUUAAAACUCCAUUUAGUUCCCUCGGCAGUUAAGAGAACUGCUCUCAGGUACAGCUCUGAGAUUUCCAAAUUAAUUCAGGCAGCUUUGUGAAGCUAAGCCAGUUCUUUCCAAGCUGUGGCCGCAUGGGCGAAUGUCUUAUUUGUACCUUUCCUUACACAGGGGAAUUUCUCCCUGCAGGGAGAUGUUCAUUUUCUGCAAUGGCAUCAGUUGAUUCAAAACCAGGACAGACACCAUCAGAUUCCACCGGAGCAUUUUCCGAGUUUGACGUGAGGUCCUUAAACACUUCCUUUCCCUCCCUUCUGCAAAACUGGGCCAACAGCACCUGACAGCAGGGCCGUAUGCGGGUAUUUAUGACUCGGUGUUUGGUUGCUAUAGCAACAGAAGCCAGAUAAAUAUCUUGUCAGGAAGUGGAUGCAAGUGGUGGAAGACUUAUGCCUGGACGCCCUCGUCCCAUUAGCGGUGGCUUCGGAAAUAGCGGUGACUGACAGCCUGGAUCACAGAAUUGUCCCUGGAAACUGAGACAGAAAACAGUUUAAGUCCUGUUUGAUGACCCCGUGGAGGUUAAUGGGAUUCAGUUUGGGGCAGCCUCUCAGCUGUUGGUCUUGGACCAGGGGGUGUCUAAAGCAUCUGAGCAUCUGAAACUGUCCAUCGGUCCAUUUUAUCCCAAUAUUUCUGUGUCAGAUGGUGGCGACUCCUGGGGUGUCUUUGGGUGGAGAUGUGGGAUAUUACAGGUGUGGGGUUUCGCACCUGGGACCUUGUGAGUGAGAGCAACAUGUGAUCUACCAUUGGGCAGCCAUGACCUUGGUUUGACACUCUGCCAUAAAACAACCUACUGGUUCGUCUUACCUCCCUUUGUAGGUUGUUCUGUGGACAAAAGGAGCUAGCUGAGCUUGAAGACCUGCAAUGACACCGAAGCAAGGACGCUACAUCUUUCAACUCAGGUCUACGGCACGGAGCUGUAGAGUUGGAAUGGGUUCCCCAAGGGUCAUCCAGCCCAACCUCUGCAAUCCUGACUUGCUUAUUAUGCUGUCAGCAGUUAAUGGAUCCCGGUUUAACCACACUGAUGGGUUAGGUUGCCUGAGGCUGUUUGCCACCCUUGGCCACCGCGGGAACAUCGGCCUAAGCCCGCUCUCACCAGAAGAGAGUGGAGAAUGGAAGAACGCAAUGGGAAAGAACCAGAGGCAAGAUAGCUAUCAACUGGAGAACUUCCUUGCAAGCAAGACUCUUUGAUCGCUUACAUUCAAAGCAAGAGAUAAAAUGGAAAUAAAGCAAUGAGUAUUUACUCUUCCUUCGCGUUUCCUUUAAUGCUGUCUAAUUACGGCAGCUGACAACCAUCUUCCGUGGCGCAAUUAGCACUGCGUUCCACUCUGCUCAACUGAUUCCUCCCUG